rnacentral:rRNA from 1 species
AUUGAACGCUGGCGGCAGGCCUAACACAUGCAAGUCGAACGAGUGGCGGACGGGUGAGUAAUGUCUGGGAAACUGCCUGCUGGAGGGGGAUAACUACUGGAAACGGUAGCUAAUACCGCAUACCAUCGGAUGUUCCCUGUUUGGAUUAGCUAGUAGGUGGGGUAAAGGCUCACCUAGGCCACGAUCCCUAGCUGGUCUGAGAGGAUGACCGGCCACACGGGAACUGAGACACGGUCCAGACUCCUACGGGAGGCAGCAGUGGGGAAUAUUGCACAAUGGGCGCAAGCCUGAUGCAGCCAUGCCGCGUGUGUGAAGAAGGCCUUCGGGUUGUAAAGUACUUUCAGCGGGGAAGCGUUACCCGCAGAAAAAGCACCGGCUAACUCCGUGCCAGCCGCCGCGGUAAUAC